UGAUAGCGCCCUCCCGAAGGUUAAGCUACCUACUUCUUUUGCAACCCACUCCCAUGGUGUGACGGGCGGUGUGUACAAGGCCCGGGAACGUAUUCACCGUGGCAUUCUGAUCCACGAUUACUAGCGAUUCCGACUUCAUGGAGUCGAGUUGCAGACUCCAAUCCGGACUACGACAUACUUUAUGAGGUCCGCUUGCUCUCGCGAGGUCGCUUCUCUUUGUAUAUGCCAUUGUAGCACGUGUGUAGCCCUACUCGUAAGGGCCAUGAUGACUUGACGUCAUCCCCACCUUCCUCCAGUUUAUCACUGGCAGUCUCCUUUGAGUUCCCGGCCGGACCGCUGGCAACAAAGGAUAAGGGUUGCGCUCGUUGCGGGACUUAACCCAACAUUUCACAACACGAGCUGACGACAGCCAUGCAGCACCUGUCUCAGAGUUCCCGAAGGCACCAAAGCAUCUCUGCUAAGUUCUCUGGAUGUCAAGAGUAGGUAAGGUUCUUCGCGUUGCAUCGAAUUAAACCACAUGCUCCACCGCUUGUGCGGGCCCCCGUCAAUUCAUUUGAGUUUUAACCUUGCGGCCGUACUCCCCAGGCGGUCGACUUAACGCGUUAGCUCCGGAAGCCACUCCUCAA
rnacentral:rRNA from 1 species